rnacentral:rRNA from 1 species
CCCUUAGAUGUUCUGGGCCGCACGCGCGCUGCACUGACGAAGUCAGCGAGCAUGUCCUACGCCGACAGGUGCGGGGAAUCUUGUCAAACUUCGUCGUGAUGGGGAUUGAUUUUUGAAAUUCUUGAUCAUAAACGAGGAAUUCCUAGUAAGCGCAAGUCAGCAGCUUGCGUUGAUUACGUCCCUGCCCUUUGUACACACCGCCCGUCGCUACUACCGAUUGAAUGGUUUAGUGAGAUCUUCGGAUUGGCGCCACUGCAGCUCAGCAAUGGGCUUGGUGGAUGCCGAAAAGUUGAUCAAACUUGAUCAUUUAGAGGAAGUAAAAGUCGUAACA